GAAACAGAAAAUACGAUUUUCAAAUUUAUUUCCCAAGUCUGGAAGAAGAAGGCAAGAACCAUUAGCUACAAUAUGCAAGAGGUAGUUGGUUCCUUCAACCUCUUGGUAGUUACAUGAUGGGACCUCUCCAUGGGAUUGAAAGCUAAUAAAUGGUGCCACCUGGUGUCUUUACUUGCAUGCUGCAGACCACGGCAGAUGCCAUCUCCACCCAUGAAACUAGAGUAAAAAUGUGCCCACAAGAGCCGUCCCUAAUCCUCUCCAGAUCAUUCUGGUGUCCGCUAACGGUUUUCUCACCUGAUCACUCAUGGCCAGAUAAAUGGUUUACAAAGUAUCACUGGUCAUUUCUUUCAUGAAAAACAACUGAAAGCAUUUUAAUGAGGAUUUCUUAAGUCUGGAAUCUGGGUACUUCCAGUCUUAGGCCAAAGCCACGCUUUUUUUUUUUUUUUUUUUUUUUUUUUAAACAGAGUCUUGCUCUGUCCCCAGACUGGACUGCAGUGGCGAUCUCAGCUCACUGCAACCUCCGACUCCUGGUUUCAAGCCAUUCUCUUGCCUCAGCCUCCCGAGUAGCUGGGGCAGGACAAUGGCGUAAACCCGGGAGGCAGAGCUUGCAGUGAGCCAAGACGGCACCACUGCACUCCAGCCUGGGCGACAGAGUGAGACUCUGCCUCAAAAAAAAUAAAAAUAAAAAUUUCAUUAGUGAUAAUACAGUGACAUGAAGUACUGAUGCCUUUACAGCACCUUCUUCAAAACCAACAGUUUUGUGCAAGAAAUGUAUUCUGAUUCUUGGUUAUCAGUCAUUCUCUAUAAAAGUACCUGGAAAAUGUGCUGUGUAUGGUUUGUUGUUGUUUAAUUCUGGAGUGAGGGACAAGGGCUGUCACUAUUUUCUAGACCCGUUUUUAAAGUGCAUCACCCUAUUUGAUUUCAAAUAUCUCAACCAGUAUAGUUAGAAAAAAAAUUAUCUAAACCACUAAACCAAAAAUAACAUAUGGAUUGUCUGCCUUUCUUGUGUGUUCAAAACAUUUUCAAACUUGUUAUAGAAGAGCCUAGCAUCAGGUAUUUCAUCUGUAAUUCCACGAAAAAACUAUUGUAUGUACUAUAAAAUCACACAAAGUGAACAAUUUGUAUGAAGCUUAUAUAACUGGACUUGAUCUGUUAGUGACCUUAAUAGAUAGGAGUAGUUGGAUGUCUAAAGGAUUCCUUUAAACGUUUUUGUUAACUGUCAAACUCUUUAACAUAUCUUCCCUUAAGAACACCUACUGUCCUUUACCACUAAAAGACUGUGUUUGUGUACCUUUACUCCCCAAGGUUAACAGGUGAACUGCCUUGCUCAUACUGACACCAGAAUGAUUUUAGAAUGACUUCUAAAACAAAUACUUGCCAUCAGGUUGCACACAAUUUUGAAGCCUCCAUGUAAAACAUGCUACAAGGAUUAGAACAUCGAAAACCUCCCCCAAAUGGCAUAUCAGAAACUUAGAGAAAAGGAAAGGAUUCCUAUGAUAAAACCACUUCAGUGGCACCUCUCUCAAAUAUGUCUUAGGGAAUUAGAAUUCUCCACUCCAAGUUGGCACAAACCUCCCAACACCAAGUUCU
rnacentral:lncRNA from 1 species